UGGGGAAUUUUGCACAAUGGGGGAAACCCUGAUGCAGCGACGCCGCGUGAUUUAGAAGGCCUUCGGGUUGUAAAAAUCUUUUUUAUGGGAUGAAAAUGACAGUACCAUAAGAAUAAGGUCCGGCUAAAUACGUGCCAGCAGCCGCGGUAAUACGUAUGGACCGAGCGUUGUCCGGAAUCAUUGGGCGUAAAGGGUACGUAGGCGGCCCAGUAAGUUAGAAGUGAAAUAAUAUAGCUCAACUAUAUAAAGCUUUUAAAACUGCUAGGCUUGAGAGAUGGAAGGGAAAGUGGAAUUCCUAGUGUAGCGGUGAAAUGCGCAGAUAUUAGGAAGAAUACCGGUGGCGAAGGCGACUUUCUGGCCAUAACCUGACGCUGAGGUACGAAAGCGUGGGUAGCAAACAGG
rnacentral:rRNA from 1 species